rnacentral:rRNA from 1 species
GACGAACGCUGGCGGCGUGCUUAACACAUGCAAGUCGAACGGAAAGGCCCUGCUUUUGUGGGGUGCUCGAGUGGCGAACGGGUGAGUAACACGUGAGUAACCUGCCCUUGACUUUGGGAUAACUUCAGGAAACUGGGGCUAAUACCGGAUAGGAGCUCCUGCUGCAUGGUGGGGGUUGGAAAGUUUCGGCGGUUGGGGAUGGACUCGCGGCUUAUCAGCUUGUUGGUGGGGUAGUGGCUUACCAAGGCUUUGACGGGUAGCCGGCCUGAGAGGGUGACCGGCCACAUUGGGACUGAGAUUCGGCCCCGACUCCUUCGGGAGGCAGCAGUGGGGAAUAUUGCACCAUGGGCGGAAGCCUGAUGCCGCAACGCCGCGUGCGGGAUGACGGCCUUCGGGUUGUAAACCGCUUUCGCCUGUGACGAAGCGUGAGUGACCGUAAUGGGUAAAGAAGCACCGGCUUACCACGUG